rnacentral:rRNA from 1 species
GAUGAACGCUGGCGGCGUGCCUAAUACAUGCAAGUCGAGCGAACGGACGAGAAGCUUGCUUCUCUGAUGUUAGCGGCGGACGGGUGAGUAACACGUGGAUAACCUACCUAUAAGACUGGGAUAACUUCGGGAAACCGGAGCUAAUACCGGAUAAUAUUUUGAACCGCAUGGUUCAAAAGUGAAAGACGGUCUUGCUGUCACUUAUAGAUGGAUCCGCGCUGCAUUAGCUAGUUGGUAAGGUAACGGCUUACCAAGGCAACGAUGCAUAGCCGACCUGAGAGGGUGAUCGGCCACACUGGAACUGAGACACGGUCCAGACUCCUACGAGAGGCAGCAGUAGGGAAUCUUCCGCAAUGGGCGAAAGCCUGACGGAGCAACGCCGCGUGAGUGAUGAAGGUCUUCGGAUCGUAAAACUCUGUUAUUAGGGAAGAACAUAUGCGUAAGUAACUGUGCACAUCUUGACGGUACCUAAUCAGAAAGCCACGGCUAACUACGUG